AUAUAUUUCUACUACAAUAAACAUUAAAAGUGUUAAGAUAAUUGCCAAAAACACGGGUCUGA
rnacentral:antisense_RNA from 1 species